GAAAAUGAGUAGAUAGAUCUAAUCACUGACUGAUCAUUAAAAAAGAAACACCUAAAGAUAUGGAAUGUUUUGGAAGAAAAAUAAGUAAUAAAUCAAAAGGGACUCGGAAGAUCAAGAAGAAGAAAAGGAAGAAAAGAGAGGGUUCGUUUGCUGAUCUCGGUUUGAGCGGAAUCGGAAAAGGACUUCCCGAAGAUUAAUUUGCUCAUUCUAAGGCUUGUGUGCCGGAAUGGAAAUAAUAACGCGAGGUAUGACGAAGGUGAUGCUGAUGCAGACUGAUGAUCAUCUUCGGUUUCCAUAUGAGAUAAAUAGGAAAGACAUCACUAUCAACACCACGCCAUAUGAAUGAAAAGCGUCUUGCAUAUAAACCCAACGAAAGAAGCUUGUGAAAUUUUGGACUACUGAAGAGCAUCAUGUACUUUCUGAUCACAAUGUUAAGAGUAGAAGCCACCCGAAGCCAAGCACGCCACGGUUAGGAAAUUUCCCUCGAUGCAAAGCUGGAAAUGGUUUUUGGAUGUCUACUGAUGCCAGACGUUUCACAAUAUCUGCAAAGAUACCCAGAGUUUCAAACAAAAGCAUAACUUUGGUGGUCCAGUAUUCUAUAAAAUAAGAGCAAGACAUCAAAUGUGAUGCUGGUUAUAAUAAGCUUCUUUCAGGUUAUGUCAAUCAGAAGAAAUUUGGUGGUGAUACUCCUUACAGUUUAAUGUUUGGGCCAGAUUUAUGUGGUUCACAGACGAAGAAGCUACAUAUUAUACUUUCCUACAAACUGCAGAAUUUCCUACGAACUGCAGAAUUUGGGGAGCGGAACCAAAAGGGUUUAGGACAUGUUUAGAGAUUUAGUCUUACAUUGGAAAACAAUUAUUACAUAGUCAUAAUGGCAUCAUGGUUUUCCUCUCUUGUUUUUGAAGAGUUCCUGUUGUAUUUCACUUGAAACUUGUGUGGAUUUACCAGAACACCUGGCUAAGGGCUGCUUUUCUACAUGUAUGAAGCAGGUGUUUCAAGUUGAAUAAUCUAGUGAUUUGAUUAUUCUCUAGUGCCUGCAUGGAUUUCAUAUGGCAGGAUAAGACCGAUGCAUAGUGGUAUUUAUAAAAUACCAUUCCUAUCCUCUUUAUUUUUCUUC